UACGAAGGGUGCAAGCGUUACUCGGAAUUACUGGGCGUAAAGCGUGCGUAGGUGGUUUUUUAAGUCCGUUGUGAAAGCCCUGGGCUCAACCUGGGAAUGGCAGUGGAUACUGGAAAGCUAGAGUGCGGUAGAGGGUAGUGGAAUUCCCGGUGUAGCAGUGAAAUGCGUAGAGAUCGGGAGGAACACCCGUGGCGAAGGCGGCUCUCUGGGACGGUACUGGACGCUGACGUACGCGAAAGCGUGGGGAGCGAACGAGGA
rnacentral:rRNA from 1 species